ACAGCUGCUACUCUGAGAGCAGUUCAGUGCUCUGAAGCACAAAGACCCAUGGGAUGUGCCUUCAGGAGUCUUUGACACACACAGCUAAUCUGAACCACAGAUAGUGAAUGGGGGCUGCUGCUGUGGGACGGAAAUCCACAUCUGGCCUGCGAGGCGUGGGCAUAGGGUCUCAUCUUCCAAAAAGAACUGAAAAACUGCUGGCUUUGGGUUCAGGGAUAACCCUAAAGACAAUGAGGUGUGCCCAGCUCUGAAAACCUCAGAUGGUUCAACUGAAGCAACUCAUUGGCAGCGCUACCAAUAAAACCCAUUCUCCUGAGUCCCCAUCCAGUGCACUAUCCACAGGUCCAUAUUGCCUCCCAAGAGAGCAUAUCAAAGCCCAGUGGUGGCAUUACCUUUGGUGCAGGCCGUGAUUGUCCUGGAAUGUUCAUCUGGGAGUUUGUUCCCUGCUGAGUCCAUGUCCAUUCGCCGUAAGGUUGGCAGGUCUGGGUGGAAAAGCCUGUCCUUUACUCCAGCCAGCAUGACUUUCCUAGGGUCUAGGGGCAGUAACACAGCUGGGGCCGUGUAGACACGAUGGCCAUCUUCAGGCCAUGGUACCAAAUCAAUUACUUGGGCCAUUGCUGUAAACAGAGAGAGCAAAGUGAAACAGACAAGUGCAAAAACGUGACACUUAUUUGCUAACAGCUCCACAUCUAUCCUGACCAACAGACUAUGUGUCCUGAUAACGUGAUGCGUACAGGAUGUCCAGUUUAUCCCCUAGAGGUGAGGCAUGGUUUGUUUCUGUUUUGUUGCCGGUAUGAUAGCAAAGGGAACAAUACACAAUCCUAUCAAAUGGAGAUGGCCCAAUGAAUGUUUGCUGGGUGUUCCAUGAGCCCCUAAAUAAAUCCCUUCAAAACACAUAUGGUCUUGGGCGGGCUGCAGGCAUACCAGGCAGGUGAUUAAACAGGGCCUGUUAGAACAUUCCAUUCUCUGAGCUCAGAUACCCCUGUGCAGUCCUGGUGAAGGCACAGGGACGGGUGUACGUGCAGUCUCAGGACAGCAGUGGCCUUAGUCACUCAGGAUCAAAUUCUCAGAAGCAGCUCCUACUUUGAGGUGCUUUUUCAUUGCCCAUCUUCAGACACAGACACCUUAACACCUGCCUUGCGCCCAUGCUUCCCUACUGACUACGUCCUCUGUGCCCUAUGCCCACUCCUCAUUUCAUGCCUGCUUAUGCUGCCCUGGAUGCUGGGAUCAGCUUCCUAGCUAAUGUGACCCCAUAGCUCCAGCUCCACUGUCCAGGAGCCACCCUGGCUUUGUUUUGUUUGUAUUGGUCUAUACUGGAUCCACUCGUGACUUUUUAGGGCCUGAUCCAACUUCCACUGAAGUCAGUUGUAAGAUGCUCACUGCAAUGGCAGUGGAAUAAGGUAAACACUGGAGGGCAGAUUUCGGUCUUGUUUGGCACCUGACCCGGUCAGCUGUAAAGAGCCAUGGCCCUUACAGCACUUUAGAAAUAACAACGUGCUCAGAUCUGCGGAGGGUACGUGACUGCAAAUGCGGCAAAAAGGGACUGUAGAUUACUUCCCCGAGUUUCUGAAGCAGGAGGGGCAGAAGAAGAGACAGAGAACAAUGGCAGCUUGGAAGCCUGGUUUCAUCUGCAAAGCUGGGGAAGAACUUGGUUAAAGUCAAUGGAAAACCUCUUACUCCGAGAUCAGUAAAACCAAUAGUGAAAAUUGCCUAGAAAAACAUGGACACCAUUAAAUGUACUAUUUUGGUUCAGG